AAUAUUUUAUAUAAAUACUUUAUACAAUACUAUUUAUAUUAAAAUUUUUUUAAAUUUUAUCAAUAAAAAUUGUAAUAUUAAAAAAAAAUAUGUAAAAAUACAAUAAUUUUAACAAUCAAACAGAUAAUUUUAUUUGAUUUUAAGAAUUAUUAGAUGUAAUAAUUAUAUUAAAUUUACAAAAAUAUAUACUAUUAUUGUAAAUUAUAUAUAUCUUUUUUAAUAAAAAAAUAUUU
rnacentral:tRNA from 1 species